rnacentral:rRNA from 1 species
UACGUAGGGGGCAAGCGUUGUCCGGAUUUAUUGGGCGUAAAGCGCUCGCAGGUGGUUCGUUGCGUCGUGCGUGAAAGACCCCGGCUCAACUGGGGAGGGUCGUGCGAUACGGGCGAACUGGAGGCCAGUAGGGGGAGUGCGGAAUUCCGGGUGUAGUGGUGGAAUGCGUAGAGAUCCGGAGGAACACCAGCGGCGAAGGCGGCAUCCUGGACUGGUCCUGACACUCAGGAGCGAAAGCGUGGG